rnacentral:tRNA from 1 species
AUUACUUUGGCAGAAUAGUGCCUUGAAUUUAGAAUUCAAAUAUGUAAAUUUUACAAGUAAUA